AUUAAAAAAGAAAUAAACGAAAAGUUACAACAUUCGUA
rnacentral:ribozyme from 1 species